CCCUGCUCACAUCCAUGCGUUAGAGGCUUCUUCUCUUAUUAUUAUUAUUAUUUUUUUUUUGUAUGAUGAUGAUUCGUUUUGUUUUCUACCCUACGGAUCACCCGAUCGCCACAGCAGCAAUCAGACCCUGCCAGCUGUGCCCUGUUGUCCCCAUUCAUCCCUUUUGGGGUGGGGUGGGGGACCCGAGGCUCAGCCCAACCCCCGUCAGCCUUCACCCCUCCAUCCCUUUUCCCUUCCUAAAGCUCCGGGCCCUUUCCUGGGAGCUGCUCUUUUAUGCAUUUUGUAUUGUCCACUCUCGAUGCUGGGGAGGGGGAGGGGAUGCAGCAGAACUUGGGGGGGGGAUUUUUUUUAGGCAGCCUGCUCAUGGGAAAGGGUCCCCAUCCAUCCCCCCCUCCUGCUCACCGUCCCACUGCAUGAGUUCCCCCUCACCUCGGGAUGCACCAACCUCGGACCCACAGAUGCUGCCUGGGGCUGGGAUUCUAACCCUAAUCCUGUCCAGACCCGAGAUCCCAAAACUCCUGCCCCAAAUCCCAAAGCUCCCACCCCAAAUUCCAAAGUUCCCACCCCCAAAUCCCAAACCUCCUACCCCAAAUCCCAAAGCUCUCACCCAAAACCUCCUACCCCAAAUCUCAAAGCUCCCAUCCCAAAGUUCCCAUCCAAAUUCCAACCUCCAAAUCCCAACCUCUCACUCCAAGCCUUGUACCCCCAAAUUCCAAAGCUCUCACCCCAAAUCCCACAUUUUCCACCCCACACCUCCUACCCUCAAAUCCCAAACUUCCCAUACAAAUGCCAACCUCCUACCCUAAAUCCCAAACUUCCUACCCCCAAAUUCCAAACAUCUCACCCUAAUGCCAAAUCUUCUACCCUAAAUUCCAAAUCUCCCACCCCAAACCUCCUACCCCCAAAUCCCAAAGCUCCCACCCCAAUCCCAAAACAUCCUCCCCCAAGUUCCAAUUCUCCUGUCCCAAACAUCCCAUUUUAAAUCCCAAUCUCCCACCCCCAAAUCCCUUCCUCCCACCCCCAAAUCCCAAACCUCCCACUCCAAAACCUCCCACCUGCAUCCCACCCUCCCACCCCAAAUCACAGAACUGUAGGGUUCAGAAGGGACCUAGAGCUGGAUUCCAAAUCCCAAAGCUCCCACCCCAAGCCCUUUUUGCAGCACCCCCUCCCCACCCCCCCAGGGUUUAUCAUUGCUCUGCAUCCAUUUCCACACCCCUGGAACCCCCCCAGGUGCCAGCACUGGGGACCCUACCCCAUGUUUCACCCCAUACACCUCCCUCCCGGAUCAGGGUCCACCCACCCCAUAUCCCCCCUGUUGCAGGGACAGCCGGGUCCCCCCAACCCCUCACUGGGGCCACUGCCACUAUUUAUUGUGUCGCCCUGAGAGCAGAGCCUGGGGACAGCCCUGUGCCCCAACCUAAAGGGGGGGUUUGGGGGGAGGUUCCGAGCUGCCUCCCCUCCCCAUUUCGGGGUCAGGCCGGUGGGCGGCGUGGUACUUCUCUUUUGUAAAGUGGUUUCUUUGUACUGUUCACUGACACCUGCUUCUUUGGUUCCUCCACCAUCUCUGUGACGUUUCUGUGUCCUGUCAAAUAAAUUAUUCUAGUUUAUUAAUCUCUGAACA
ensembl:lncRNA